GAGGAUUCUGCAAGCACAGGGUGGCAAACUGUGGGUGUAAGAUGAUGAUGAUGGGGAAACAAUGAAAACUAACCGAGGAGCACAGUGACUUCUGUCUCUCCCUUCAUUUCCCUCUGCUCUGUGUAAAGGCAAAAGCUGUCCCUACAGACAAAACACACAGAAUGCACCGGACAUGGAGUGUGUUACGAAUGGAGGCCCACAGCUGCCUAGAGCUCUGAGGUUUCAUGCAAACAGCGUCUUCUUUAUACCUGGGUUACAAUCCCACCUGCUUUGCUUUCCAGUCCAGCCACAGUUUCUGUGUAUAGAAGGGAGGGGAUUUGGACAGAAUGGCUGGAGUUGUCUCACAUCUACCACUUCAAGACCUGGAUUUUCUUCAUUGAUUCAACCACCCUGAGCUUCAAAUUCCAGUGUGCAAAGCAGCUUUCUACUUCACCAGUGAUCUCAACCACAGCCCAGCACCACUAUCAUAAAAACAAAAGGCUGUCCAUCACAAGCAGGAGGAGGAACUGUGAAGAAGAGCUGGUUAAGUGGCCCAGAGGAUAAAGGCCCUUGCUUGGAAGGCCUGGCAGCCUGAGUUUAAUCCCUGGAACCUGUGUAAAGGGAAAAAAAGGGAACCCCAUUUAAAGUUACAUAGCAGUACACAGAAGAACUCUGGUUAAAGCUCUUGGUCACCUGCAUCCAACAACUUACUUCAUCACUGCCUUGACUUGUAAUUCAGCUCUGUCCAGAGGAAAGAUGCUCGGAUGGCCACUUGAGGCCUCUGAGCCUACAUGAUAGCCUAGCCACAGGGUUGGCCUCUGUAGAGGAUGACAUCGUCCUUCAGAAGGCCACCUGUUUCCAGCCCUCAGUCAGCCUUCCCAAUGUAGUUUCCUUCUUUCUGACAAGAGGCUUACAGAACUCAGCUCUCAGAACUUCAGGAAUUAAAAGAGAAACAUUGGAGAAGAAGAUUGAGAGCCAGAAUUUGGGUGGACAUCUCUGUGCAGACCAGCAUGCACAUCAUGGAAACCCAGGAAGAAAAUAGGAGAGAGUUACUUAAAGGAUCAGUGACUAAGAUGCCCCAAAAUAUAAGAAAGAUAUGAAUACACAAGCCCCAAAUUGUAACUGGAAGCUUUUCUCCCUGCCUGCCAGUACCCAAAUAACCAGUCAGGGGCUUAAUAUUAAUU